UACAGAGGGUGCGAGCGUUAAUCGGAAUUACUGGGCGUAAAGCGCGCGUAGGCGGCUCUGCAAGUCGGGUGUGAAAUCCCCAGGCUUAACCUGGGAACUGCAUUCGAGACUGCAUUGCUAGAGUAUGGGAGAGGGGAGUGGAAUUUCCGGUGUAGCGGUGAAAUGCGUAGAUAUCGGAAGGAACAUCAGUGGCGAAAGCGACUUCCUGGACCAAUACUGACGCUCAUGUGCGAAAGCGUGGGGAGCAAACAGG
rnacentral:rRNA from 1 species